AGUUAUUUGAUUCCAUGCUGAGAUUUCGUCAGACACCAACCCAUUAGGGCUGAUCAAACUUCCAAGAUCAGUGAAGUU
rnacentral:pre_miRNA from 1 species